UUGUUCAAAUGUAUGUGGGCUAAUACAACUACUUCUAGGGGGAUUGUGACUGAUGAGUUGGGAUUUACAAGUGUAUGUUUUGGACGCUUGAUUCAUACUGGUGAUAAUGAUGAUGAUGAACCAUACAUUCAAGCAUCAGAAGCACAAAUGGUAUAUUAUGUAGAUGAUGAGUUUGAUAAAAAUUGGUGCAUCCCUGUACAUAUAAAGCCUAGAGACUUGUACAACAUCGGUGAAGAUGAUGUUGACAACGUUCAUGAAUGUGAAUCGUUUCAACAACAAAACUUAGAAACAUUAUUUCCCGAUGAUGAAAGAAAUAUACCAUUAACAAGACCACUUGAAGAUGAAGAAAAUGACAUUUAAGAAGAAGGAGAGAAAACAUCAUACACAGCAAAGUGCCUCUCAUACAUGGGGUCACACAACUAAUCAUCCACCAGCUCCUCAAGUCCAAUCCUCACCCUCUCUUUCUGCCCCUCAAAGAAGAACAUACAAACUAAAGCUACCUUCGACAAGCCAAAGCACAUGCACUCCUACUCAUAUUGAGUCCCCAAAUGCAUUUGCUUUUCAAUCAGCAUGGACUCCUGCACCUAUUCAGUCCCCAGAUGCAUUUUUUCAAUCAUCAGUUCAAGUUAAUGUAAGUGUUUCAAUUACAUUAGUAAAAACAG